rnacentral:rRNA from 1 species
UAGAUACCCCACUAUGCUUUGCCCUAAACAUCGAUAGUGUUAUACCCCACUAUCCGCCGGGGAACUACGAGCAUUAGCUUAAAACCCAAAGGACUUGGCGGUGCUUUAGAUCCACCUAGAGGAGCCUGUUCUAGAACCGAUACCCCCCGUUCAACCUCACCUUUCCUUGUUUAACCCGCCUAUAUACCGCCGUCGUCAGCCUACCCUGUGAGGGCCUAAUAGUGAGCUCAAUUGGCAUAGCCCAAAACGUCAGGUCGAGGUGUAGCGUAUGGAAAGGGAAGAAAUGGGCUACAUUCACUAAACUACAGUGAAUACGAAAAGUGUACUGAAAGACACACUUGAAGGAGGAUUUAGCAGUAAGCAAAAAAUAGAGUGUUUAGCUGAAAUUGGCCCUGAAGCGCGCACACACCGCCCGUCACCCUCA